rnacentral:rRNA from 1 species
AGCUCCAAUAGCGUAUAUUAUUGAUGUUGCAGUUGAAACGUUCGUAGUCGAGUUUUUUGGCUUUUGGGGCUGUUUCUUCGUUAUAGAACUCUCAUCCCCUUGCCAACGCGACUGAUCGGUUGGUGGCCGUCUGCGGCCGUCUUCCUUUCAUGUGUUACUCUGAGUGAAUCGACGUGUUCCACGCAGGCAGUUGCCCGAACGAUUUACCAUGGCAUAACAAUGAGGCGGGAAUUCCUUUUUGUUUGUUCAAGGGUUUUUCCAACUCUAACGAGAACGGCUGAGGGCAUUCGUACUUAACUGUUAGAGGUGAAAUUCUUUGAUCAGUUAAAGACGGACAGUUGCGAAAGCAUCUGCCAAGGGCGUUUCUGCCA